AUUGAACGCUGGCGGCAGGCCUAACACAUGCAAGUCGAACGGUAACAGGAAGACGCUUGCUUCUUUGCUGACGCGUGGCGGACGGGUGAGUAAUGUCUGGGAAACUGCCUGAUGGAGGGGGAUAACUACUGGAAACGGUAGCUAAUACCGCAUAACUUCGCAAGACCAAAGAGGGGGAGCUUCGGGCCUCUUUCCAUCGGAUGUGCCCAGAUGGGAUUAGUUAGUAGGUGGGGUAACGGCUCACAUAGGCGCCGAUCCCUAGCUGGUCUGAGAGGAUGACCAGCCACACUGGAACUGAGACACGGUCCAGACUCCUACGGGAGGCAGCGGUGGGGAAUAUUGCACAAUGGGCGCAAGCCUGAUGCAGACAUGCCGCGUGUAUGAAGAAGGCCUUCGGGUUGUAAAGUACUUUCAGCGGGGAGGAGGGAGUAAAGUUAAUACCUGUGCUCAUUGACGUUACCCGCAGAAGAAGCACCGGCUAACUCCGUG
rnacentral:rRNA from 1 species